UACGGAAGGCAGCAGGGGGAAUAUUGCACAAUGGGCGGAAGCCUGAUGCAGCGACGCCGCGUGAGGGAUGACGGCCUUCGGGUUGUAAACCUCUUUCAGCACGGAAGAAGCGAAAGUGACGGUACGUGCAGAAGAAGCGCCGGCUAACUACGUGCCAGCAGCCGCGGUAAUACGUAGGGCGCAAGCGUUGUCCGGAAUUAUUGGGCGUAAAGAGCUCGUAGGCGGUUUGUCGCGUCUGCUGUGAAAGCCCCGGGGCUUAACCCCCGGGUGUGCAGUGGGUACGGGCAGACUUGAGUGCAGUAGGGGAGACUGGAAUUCCUGGUGUAGCGGUGAAAUGCGCAGAUAUCAGGAGGAACACCGAUGGCGAAGGCAGGUCUCUGGGCUGUUACUGACGCUGAGGAGCGAAAGCAUGGGGACGAACAGGGAUUAGAUACC
rnacentral:rRNA from 1 species